ACCCGCUGAACUUAAGCAUAUCAAUAAGCGGAGGAAAAGAAACCAACAGGGAUUGUCUUAGUAACGGCGAGUGAAGCGACAAAAGCUCAAAUUUGAAAUCUGGCACCUUCGGUGUCCGAGUUGUAAUUUGAAGAAGGUAACUUUGGAGUUGGCUCUUGUCUAUGUUCCUUGGAACAGGACGUCACAGAGGGUGAGAAUCCCGUGCGAUGAGAUGUCCAACUCUAUGUAAAGUGCUUUCGAAGAGUCGAGUUGUUUGGGAAUGCAGCUCUAAGUGGGUGGUAAAUUCCAUCUAAAGCUAAAUAUUGGCGAGAGACCGAUAGCGAACAAGUACAGUGAUGGAAAGAUGAAAAGAACUUUGAAAAGAGAGUGAAAAAGUACGUGAAAUUGUUGAAAGGGAAGGGUUUGAGAUCAGACUUGGUAUUUUGUAUGUCUUGCUUUCGGGUGGGGCCUCUGCAGUUUACUGGGCCAGCAUCGGUUUGGACGGUAGGAUAAUGACAUUGGAAUGUGGCACUACUUCGGUGGUGUGUUAUAGAC
rnacentral:rRNA from 4 species